rnacentral:rRNA from 1 species
UUAAGCGACUAAGCGUACACGGUGGAUGCCCUGGCAGUCAGAGGCGAUGAAGGACGUGCUAAUCUGCGAAAAGCGUCGGUAAGGUGAUAUGAACCGUUAUAACCGGCGAUGUCCGAAUGGGGAAACCCAGUGUGUUUCGACACACUAUCAUUAACUGAAUCCAUAGGUUAAUGAGGCGAACCGGGGGAACUGAAACAUCUAAGUACCCCGAGGAAAAGAAAUCAACCGAGAUUCCCCCAGUAGCGGCGAGCGAACGGGGAGGAGCCCAGAGCCUGAAUCAGUGUGUGUGUUAGUGGAAGCGUCUGGAAAGGCGCGCGAUACAGGGUGACAGCCCCGUACACAAAAAUGCACAUGCUGUGAGCUCGAUGAGUAGGGCGGGACACGUGGUAUCCUGUCUGAAUAUGGGGGGGCCAUCCUCCAAGGCUAAAUACUCCUGACUGACCGAUAGUGAACCAGUACCGUGAGGGAAAGGCGAAAAGAACCCCGGCGAGGGGAGUGAAAAAGAACCUGAAACCGUGUACGUACAAGCAGUGGGAGCCCUGAUUUAUCAGGGUGACUGCGUACCUUUUGUAUAAUGGGUCAGCGACUUAUAUUCUGUAGCAAGGUUAACCGAAUAGGGGAGCCGGAGGGAAACCGAGUCUUAACUGGGCGUUAAGUUGCAGGGUAUAGACCCGAAACCCGGUGAUCUAGCCAUGGGCAGGUUGAAGGUUGGGUAACACUAACUGGAGGACCGAACCGACUAAUGUUGAAAAAUUAGCGGAUGACUUGUGGCUGGGGGUGAAAGGCCAAUCAAACCGGGAGAUAGCUGGUUCUCCCCGAAAGCUAUUUAGGUAGCGCCUCGUGAAUUCAUCUCCGGGGGUAGAGCACUGUUUCGGCAAGGGGGUCAUCCCGACUUACCAACCCGAUGCAAACUGCGAAUACCGGAGAAUGUUAUCACGGGAGACACACGGCGGGUGCUAACGUCCGUCGUGAAGAGGGAAACAACCCAGACCGCCAGCUAAGGUCCCAAAGUCAUGGUUAAGUGGGAAACGAUGUGGGAAGGCCCAGACAGCCAGGAUGUUGGCUUAGAAGCAGCCAUCAUUUAAAGAAAGCGUAAUAGCUCACUGGUCGAGUCGGCCUGCGCGGAAGAUGUAACGGGGCUAAACCAUGCACCGAAGCUGCGGCAGCGACGCUGAUGCGUUGUUGGGUAGGGGAGCGUUCUGUAAGCCUGUGAAGGUGUGCUGUGAGGCAUGCUGGAGGUAUCAGAAGUGCGAAUGCUGACAUAAGUAACGAUAAAGCGGGUGAAAAGCCCGCUCGCCGGAAGACCAAGGGUUCCUGUCCAACGUUAAUCGGGGCAGGGUGAGUCGACCCCUAAGGCGAGGCCGAAAGGCGUAGUCGAUGGGAAACAGGUUAAUAUUCCUGUACUUGGUGUUACUGCGAAGGGGGGACGGAGAAGGCUAUGUUGGCCGGGCGACGGUUGUCCCGGUUUAAGCGUGUAGGCUGGUUUUCCAGGCAAAUCCGGAGAAUCAAGGCUGAGGCGUGAUGACGAGGCACUACGGUGCUGAAGCAACAAAUGCCCUGCUUCCAGGAAAAGCCUCUAAGCAUCAGGUAACAUCAAAUCGUACCCCAAACCGACACAGGUGGUCAGGUAGAGAAUACCAAGGCGCUUGAGAGAACUCGGGUGAAGGAACUAGGCAAAAUGGUGCCGUAACUUCGGGAGAAGGCACGCUGAUAUGUAGGUGAAGCGACUUGCUCGUGGAGCUGAAAUCAGUCGAAGAUACCAGCUGGCUGCAACUGUUUAUUAAAAACACAGCACUGUGCAAACACGAAAGUGGACGUAUACGGUGUGACGCCUGCCCGGUGCCGGAAGGUUAAUUGAUGGGGUCAGCGCAAGCGAAGCUCUUGAUCGAAGCCCCGGUAAACGGCGGCCGUAACUAUAACGGUCCUAAGGUAGCGAAAUUCCUUGUCGGGUAAGUUCCGACCUGCACGAAUGGCGUAAUGAUGGCCAGGCUGUCUCCACCCGAGACUCAGUGAAAUUGAACUCGCUGUGAAGAUGCAGUGUACCCGCGGCAAGACGGAAAGACCCCGUGAACCUUUACUAUAGCUUGACACUGAACACUGGUCCUUGAUGUGUAGGAUAGGUGGGAGGCUUUGAAGUGUGGACGCCAGUCUGCAUGGAGCCGUCCUUGAAAUACCACCCUUUAAUGGCUGGUGUUCUAACGUUGGCCCGUAAUCCGGGUUGCGGACAGUGUCUGGUGGGUAGUUUGACUGGGGCGGUCUCCUCCUAAAGAGUAACGGAGGAGCACGAAGGUUGGCUAAUCCUGGUCGGACAUCAGGAGGUUAGUGCAAUGGCAUAAGCCAGCUUGACUGCGAGCGUGACGGCGCGAGCAGGUGCGAAAGCAGGUCAUAGUGAUCCGGUGGUUCUGAAUGGAAGGGCCAUCGCUCAACGGAUAAAAGGUACUCCGGGGAUAACAGGCUGAUACCGCCCAAGAGUUCAUAUCGACGGCGGUGUUUGGCACCUCGAUGUCGGCUCAUCACAUCCUGGGGCUGAAGUAGGUCCCAAGGGUAUGGCUGUUCGCCAUUUAAAGUGGUACGCGAGCUGGGUUUAGAACGUCGUGAGACAGUUCGGUCCCUAUCUGCCGUGGGCGCUGGAGAACUGAGGGGGGCUGCUCCUAGUACGAGAGGACCGGAGUGGACGCAUCACUGGUGUUCGGGUUGUCAUGCCAAUGGCACUGCCCGGUAGCUAAAUGCGGAAGAGAUAAGUGCUGAAAGCAUCUAAGCACGAAACUUGCCCCGAGAUGAGUUCUCCCUGAGACUUAGAGUCUCCUGAAGGAACGUUGAAGACGACGACGUUGAUAGGCCGGGUGUGUAAGCGCAGCGAUGCGUUGAGCUAACCGGUACUAAUGAACCGUGAGGCUUAACCUU